rnacentral:rRNA from 1 species
AGAGUUUGAUCCUGGCUCAGGAUGAACGCUGGCGGCGUGCCUAACACAUGCAAGUCGAGCGAGGGUUUGCUCAGUAUUGAGUAUUCUAAGACUAGAAUGUUCAAUUCUGAGCAAAACCAAGCGGCGGACGGGUGAGUAACGCGUGGGUAACCUGCCCUAUACACAUGGAUAACAUACUGAAAAGUUUACUAAUACAUGAUAAUAUAUAUUUGCGGCAUCGCAGAUAUAUCAAAGUGUUAGCGGUAUAGGAUGGACCCGCGUCUGAUUAGCUAGUUGGUGAGAUAACUGCCCACCAAGGCGACGAUCAGUAGCCGACCUGAGAGGGUGAUCGGCCACAUUGGAACUGAGACACGGUCCAAACUCCUACGGGAGGCAGCAGUGGGGAAUAUUGCACAAUGGGCGAAAGCCUGAUGCAGCAACGCCGCGUGAACGAUGAAGGUCUUCGGAUCGUAAAGUUCUGUUGCAGGGGAAGAUAAUGACGGUACCCUGUGAGGAAGCCCCGGCUAACUACGUGCCAGCAGCCGCGGUAAUACGUAGGGGGCUAGCGUUAUCCGGAUUUACUGGGCGUAAAGGGUGCGUAGGUGGUCCUUCAAGUCGGUGGUUAAAGGCUACGGCUCAACCGUAGUAAGCCGCCGAAACUGGAGGACUUGAGUGCAGGAGAGGAAAGUGGAAUUCCCAGUGUAGCGGUGAAAUGCGUAGAUAUUGGGAGGAACACCAGUAGCGAAGGCGGCUUUCUGGACUGCAACUGACACUGAGGCACGAAAGCGUGGGUAGCAAACAGGAUUAGAUACCCUGGUAGUCCACGC